GGGGCGUUAGCUCAAUUGGGAGAGCGCCGCCUUUGCAAGGCGGAGGUCAUCGGUUCGACCCCGAUACGCUCCA
rnacentral:tRNA from 1 species